UCCUUGAUGGUCCAGUGGUUAGGACUUGGCACUUUCACUGCAGUGGCCCAGGUUCAAUCCCUGGUCAAGGAA